CAAACUCCACGUGGCUCUGAAUGGCCCACUACCAGGCGGUUACAGACGUCGCUGUCAAUCAGUUAUGUUCUCCAUCUAUAAAAAGGGACCCUCAGAUACAUUCUUCUCUAAGCUCUAAAUUUUGUCUCGAAACUCUGCUAAAAUUUUUACUCGAGCACUCCAUUUCUGUUGAAGCAGAGUACUGACUUGAGCGUCGGAG
rnacentral:lncRNA from 1 species